rfam:Schistocephalus solidus strain NST_G2 genome assembly, scaffold: SSLN_scaffold0001726
GGCCUCGUAGCUCAGUUGCCUCGAGCGUUGGCUGUACUAAAGCCUUCCCCUUACUGGCGUGGGUUCGAAUCCCACCGAGUUUU